UACGAAGGGGGCUAGCGUUGCUCGGAAUCACUGGGCGUAAAGGGUGCGUAGGCGGGUCUUUAAGUCAGGGGUGAAAUCCUGGAGCUCAACUCCAGAACUGCCUUUGAUACUGAAGAUCUUGAGUUCGGGAGAGGUGAGUGGAACUGCGAGUGUAGAGGUGAAAUUCGUAGAUAUUCGCAAGAACACCAGUGGCGAAGGCGGCUCACUGGCCCCGAUACUGACGCUGAGGCACGAAAGCGUGGGGAGCAAACAGG
rnacentral:rRNA from 1 species